CUCCUCCGACCACCAGGUGGCGCCUCCUGCUUUGGAUUGAGGUUGUUUGUGAGAAAGUUGAGGUGGAUCAGCUGCAGCUGACGCUGGUUUGUUGUCGUUUCUGUUGUGGCUGUACAGUGGCUCCAGAUACAGGAUGCAGGACACUGAAUCCAGUGUCUCAUGUGGCCCUGCAGCUUCUCCUCAGAAUCCUCAGAGGACGACUCAGAAUCACUCCCACUGGGAAGGCGUGUGAAGGAAGGUCCACCCGGCCGGUCCAGGAGCUCCGGUCCAGCAGAGCAGCGUCAGGAUGGAGACACAAGCAGGUGAUCUCCUUGUGGAAUAGAAGAAAACCCUGUACAUAAGUACGAAGUGCUUGCAGUCCAGAGGUAGUGGCAGUGGUUGGAGACCUGGAGAGCAGGGUUCAAUACCCUACCCUGGUGAAGCUUUUUCUUAAUUUUUGGCCAAAAAUAGGGGAAAAAAUGCAAAAAAAAAUAAAACCAACAGCAUCUUUUCUUCCUUUCUCCCCCUUCCUAUCCCAUCUUCCUUCUGGUCCGUGUCACCUUCACUUUCUCUGUCAUCUACUUGCGUUGGCAGACUUCAGUUCCAGUUGUCAUUUACCCCAUUUGUGUUACUCCUUGGUUCCAGUUGUUGUAUAUCCAUUUGUGUUACUCCUUGUUUCCCAGACUUUGGUUCCAGUUGUCAUUUCCUCAUUUGUGUUUAGUCCUUGGAUUUGAACCGGUGACGCUCUGCAUCUGAGUCCACUGCCAUACCUCUUGGCUAUUGUCUUCGGUACUGACUUAUAGCUUUAGUUUCAUUUUAUCACGUAAAGCCUGGUACUGAAUGCGUCCAAAAAGGUUCUCACUCAGGAUUCGAACCAUGGCUCUUCCAUAUGACAGCCAUAGAACUUAUAUCUACGCUAUCUUUCACACAAGAUGUCUAGUAGAGUUUGUGUUAAUGAUGGUACCAAGAGGUUCUCAGUCAGCCAAAAGACAGAAAAAGACUUGAGCUGGAUAUGAACCAAGAACCUUCUGGUCCAGAAGCACAGAACUUAUCACUGCACCAUCCUUCUUAUCAAGUGGAGCUCUUAGUUUUCUCAAAUGAUGGUACAAAGUAGUAUUAAAGCGGUCAAAGUACAAAUAAAAAGGUCCAGAGGGGGAUUUGAACCAUCGACCUUCAACAUUAGUGGCACAUAACUUACCUCUACAUCACCUCAAUGAUGGUGCCAAGAUGUUCUCAGGAAGCCAAAGAACUAAAAGAGUCUUCAUGCUGGAUUUAAACCAUAGCUUCCUGAACAAGAAGCACAGAACUUAUCUCUGCACCAUCUGUCUUACAAAGUGUAGCUCUUAGUUUUCUUAAAUGAUCGUACAAAGAAGUAUGAAAGAGGACAAUGGACAAAUAAAAAAGGUCCCGAGGAGGAUUUGAAUCAUAAACCUUCAACAUGAGAGGCAUAAAAUUUACCUCUGCACCAACCAUCCCACAUGCUGAAGCCGUAACUAUGCUUAAAUGAUGGUACCAGUAAAGAGUGGAGUGGAGUGGGCAAAGGAUAGACAAAAGGUCUGAAGGGAGAUUUCAACCACAAACCUUCAACAUGAGAGACACAAAGCUUAUCUCUGCACCAUCUUUCCCACAAAAAUUGGCUCUAACUUUGCUUAAAUAGUGGUACCAAUUCAUAUUUGCGAGGACAAAGUACAAGUAAAUGUCCGUGGGGGGAUUUCAACCAUAAACCUUCAACAUGAGAGGCACAAAACUUACCUCUGCACCAACUUUGCCACAAGGUACACCACUAACGAUGCUUAAAUGAUGGUGCCAAUUAGUAUCGGCGAGGACAAGUCCAAAUGAAAGGGCCUCAUGGGUUUUUUUCACCAUAAACCGCCAACAAAAGAGGCUCAAAACUUAUCUCUGCCCCAUGAUCCGCACAAGGUCUCUGAGUUUGUUUUAAUGAUGGUACCAAGAGGUUCUCAAUAAGCCAAAAGGACCUUCAGCUGGAUUUAAAGCAAGAACUUCCUAUGCAAGAGGCACAGUACAUAUCUCUACACCAUCUUUCUUGCAAAGUUCAUGCUUGCGUUUCUUCUUGUGAUGGUACUAAGAGGUUUUCAUGAAGACAAACGUACAAAAGCUGGACUUGAACAGUGAACCUCCUGCACAAGGAAGCAUCAGACUUUCCUCUACUCCACAACAUCUUGUACUUGCUCCUGCUCUAGUUUCUUCCUAUCGUGGUACCAGGAAGAUUGUCGAGGACAAACUGCAAAAUGUUUCCAAAGAUUGGACUUGAACCAACAACCUUCAAAAUGAAGAAGUUGCAGCAUUUCCACUAAACCACCAACUCAACCGGUUAAGUACUUCAACAUAUCAUUGCCUUGGAGAGUCUGAUGGUCUGAAUCUUGUGUUUGUUUUAUUUUUUAUUUGUUGCUUGACUUGAAAUGGAGAAGUAUUCACAAACAACAAAGUUUGCUUGGAUUAGAUCCAGAGAUCUUUUGAGUAAAAGUCAGCUUGUUUAAGCUCCGGAUUUUGAGAUCAAACGUAACGGCUGAAUCUGGUGUCCAGUCUUUGUGGUCCAACCUCCACACCUGAGCGUCACGGUGAAGCUACGAUGGAGCUGCAUGAUUGAUAAGAUAAGAUAAACUUUAUUCAUCCUGCAGGAGAUUUUUUUGCUUGAGUACAAUGCAAUCAAUAAAGGUCAGUGAAAUAUACACAAUUACACAGAGGUCAGUAGUAAAACAGAAAUAAAAACAAGAAUACAAAGUACAAAAUGUAAAGUGUCUCAGUGUUUGUAUGAAGUGUCUUAGCGGAUGCCAAGAAAUAGUGUCUAAAAAAUAAAUAAAAUAGAAAAUAAAAUAACACACUUCCAAAAUGUAAACUGCAGCAAGAACAAGAAACGGAUAAACAGGAAGUGAAGUGAAUACAAAAGUAAACAGAUGUAUAGAAACAUUCAGAGCCUAGAGAUACUAAGAGUUGCGACACUCCCAUAGGGUGCCGUUGUACGCUUUCUUUCGGUCUACUUCCGGGCUGUGGAGGCUUGUGUAGUUCCAAGCACCGCUUCGACAGUGAUAUCCACCGUUCAUUUGCACUGCAGGUUGUUGAGUAUAUGUGGAGGUAAGUUGAUGAAAUGCCUACCUCUUUUGAAUUGUCAACUGCCUAUAUUUUAUCAGAGGCUCUUUAUGAUGCAUAUGCUGAGCUUUAUUUGUAUUUGCGCAGCGUAAUUAUAUAUAUUUUUUAUCUUGGUCGACGACCGAAUUUCUGCUACUUUUUUUUUUAGCUCGACUCUGCUGUUAGCUGUGAAGUUAUCUCAAGGGAUAUAUUGACGGAUUAAUUGUUGAUGAGUCGCUACCUCUUUUUUAAUUUUAAUGUCUUUAUAUUAUAUCAGAAGCCCUUUGUGGUGCAUACAUUUAUCUGUAUUUGUGAAUAUUGGCAGAUGACCGACUUUCAGGCAUUGCCAUGUGCUUGUUAGCUCUUCUUUGAAAGCUGCCUAGCUACAUCGCUACCUCUUUUUAAUUGUCAAGACUACGUCCUUUAUAUGAGACCCUUUAUAAUGCAUAAACUUAUACUUGUAAGUAUUUAACAAAUAUAUUUAUUAAUAUCUAUCGUAUCUAUCUAUCCGCCAGUAUCCCGAGAGCCCUCACUGAAGACACGAAGACCCUCAUUGUUUCUCCCAUUGUUAAUAAAACAUACUAUUUCAUUCAUCAAAGCAUAAUGAGCUGUUAUUCUUGAAUAUAUAAUUUGUGUAUGUCUUAAAAUGGUUAUAGUGAGUCAACUCCUGCCUCAUCAGAAGUGGCUGGACACUAUCUGCUGAAUGGACUGUUGUUACUCUGCUUUUCAAUAACUCCCAGACUACGGGUAAGUGAAUCAGAGAAAUAUAGACAUUGUCUGGAAAUACAAUAAUCCAGCUGGGCAAAAAUUAACAUCUUCAGUCAUCUUACAUUUCUGUGUAAAAGUCGAUUUUCCAUGCUAACACGAAUGUGAAACAUUCCAAACUCCAAAACCCCAAAAGUGUCUUUAAUAUGUCACCUUACGGCUCGAAAUGUAAAACUGACAUUUACAUACAUACUCCAGUGAAUUAAUAAUCAAACAAGUACUUGGAGGUGUGAUUUUAUUCCUUUUUUACCGUGAAAUCGCCGCUCUCAGUCCCAUAGAAGGAAAUGACAGCGCUGCCUGUUUGGAACUAUUCAGGCUUACAUGAACCACGUGACCGCCCCGCUGCGAGAGCAUGAGUGUCGCAACUCUUACUAUCUCUAAGGCUCUGGAAACAUUGCACUUGAACAAUGGUAAUACAGAUAGUGAGACGAUCAAGGAAAAGUGUGAUGAUGCUGCACAUGGAAAUAAGUCCGUUGAUCAUGUAUCCCUCCUGCAGAAGACGGAGGAAGCGUACAGUCUGAUUUCCACAGGUAGGAAAGACCUCCUGUGUGGUUCUGUGGUGCGUCUCAGUGGUCUCAGUGUGUGACUGAAGGAGCUCUGACAGGACGUCAGCGUGGCAUGCAGGGGGUGAGAGGUGUUGUCCGUGAUGCUGAGCAGCUUCCUCAGCAUCUGACAUCUCCACCACAGACUCCAGCUCAACCCCCAGGACAGAGCCAGCUCUCCUGAUGAGACUGUUAAGUCUGUUAGUGUCGGCUGCCUUCAGCCUGCAAACUGCAGCGUAGAAGACGACGCUGGAGACCACUGAGCGAUAAAACAUCUGCAGCAUGUUUCUGAACGCAUCCGACAUCGCAUCCAUUGUUUAAGAACUGAGAAGCUCCUCAUUGCAUCAGCUAGGGUUAAAGAAGUUGUUGCAGCUGAAACACAUUCAUCACUGCAGUAAUUAUCCAAUGGAAGGCUCUUACCUAUUUGCUGCAUUAAAUCCAG